rnacentral:rRNA from 1 species
CCUACGGGAGGCAGCAGUGGGGAAUCUUGCGCAAUGGGCGAAAGCCUGACGCAGCAACGCCGCGUGCGGGAAGAAGGCUUUCGGGCUGUAAACCGCUUUCAGCAGGAACGAAAAUGACGGUACCUGCAGAAGAAGGAGCGGCCAACUAUGUGCCAGCAGCCGCGGUGAUACAUAGGCUUCAAGCGUUGUCCGGAUUUAUUGGGCGUAAAGAGUUCGUAGGCGGUCGAGUAAGUCGGGUGUGAAAAUUCUGGGCUCAACCCAGAGACGCCACCCGAUACUGCUUGACUUGAGUUCGAUAGGGGAGUGGGGAAUUCCUAGUGUAGCGGUGAAAUGCGCAGAUAUUAGGAGGAACACCGGUGGCGAAGGCGCCACUCUGGAUCGAUACUGACGCUGAGGAACGAAAGCAUGGGUAGCAAACAGGAUUAGAUACCCUGGUAGUCCAUGCCGUAAACGGUGGGCACUAGGUGUGGGUUUCUAUUAACGAAAUCCGCGCCGUCGCUAACGCAUUAAGUGCCCCGCCUGGGGAGUACGGUCGCAAGCUAAAACUCAAAUGAUUGACGG